UACGUAGGGGGCAAGCGUUGUCCGGAAUCAUUGGGCGUAAAGCGCGUGUAGGCGGCCCGGUAAGUCCGCUGUAAAAGUCCAGGGCUCAACCCUGGAAAGCCGGUGGAUACUGUCGGGCUCGAGUCCGGAAGAGGCGAGUGGAAUUCCUGGUGUAGCGGUGAAAUGCGCAGAUAUCAGGAGGAACACCGAUGGCGAAGGCAGCUCGCUGGGACGGUACUGACGCUGGAGACGCGAAAGCGUGGGGAGCAAACAGG
rnacentral:rRNA from 1 species